ensembl:lncRNA
CUCCUUGACUCUUUUCUUACAAAGCGCAAAAGGCAAGUGUCUUCAGGAAUGAUGACAGGAUUUAUAAUCAUAACUUGUAUUUACUGAACAUUUUCUAUGUACUAAGGCCUUUAUGUGGAUUGUUUGUAGCGAGACCUUAACAAGCAACUACCUGUAAAGGAUGCCUUUUAAAUGCUCCCAUUUUGCAGAUGAGGAAACUGAGAAUCCCAUAAUGUGGCAUUGUUGAUGCCCAAGCAUCGUGUUUUCGAGGCUUGUCUGGGUUGGAGUCUGUCCCCUCCUGGUGACAGACGCCCUGACGGGUGGCAGGUCCACCGCUGAGGCAUCCGUGGUCCUCCGGCCUCGGUCCCACACCGGCGUUUUUCCUGGCUCCCUGGUGUUCACGGUGGACUUAGUGUAACUUGUUUCUACACUCCGUGUUGUUGGGCGUGUGGGUUGUUUCUACUCGGUCACGCCCUGGCUUUCUCCGCAGGUGGCCCCUGCUGACGGCCACCCUGCCUGGCCCUGGGAAGAGCUCUGUCCUCUCCAAGCCUCAGUUUCCUUAUUGGCAAAACAAAUAGGAUCGGACAGUCCAGAGCCCCGCCUUCUAAAGCCUCUGUGCCUGUGGUUCAAGGCCAAGGGUCUGAGAGAAGGGAUUCUGGGCAGCUCCUGCCCAGAGAGGGUCACGGGCAUUGGGGGUGCCUCUUCCUCCCGCCAGAUGUGGAGUCAAGCUCUCCCUCUGGCCUUACCCUGUCCCUCCUGCCUGGUCGGUCCCAUUUCUGGCCCUCCCCUCCCCCUCCUUCCCCAUCCCUCACCCCUGCGUCUGCUUAGCUACCUGCUUCUGCCCAUCACCACCUGCCCAAGGUGUGUCGUGACCGGGCAGCUCAGCAUUUACCCCCAUCCCUCUCUCCCUGCCGCAGGACGGGCGGAUUGAGUUCUCCGAGUUCAUCCAGGCGCUGUCGGUGACCUCGAGGGGAACCCUGGACGAGAAGCUGCGGUGGGCCUUCAAGCUCUACGACUUGGAUAACGACGGCUAUAUCACCAGGAACGAGAUGCUGGACAUUGUGGAUGCCAUUUACCAGAUGGUGGGCAACACCGUGGAGCUGCCAGAGGAGGAGAACACCCCCGAGAAAAGGGUGGACCGGAUCUUUGCCAUGAUGGACAAGAACGCCGACGGGAAGCUGACGCUGCAGGAGUUCCAGGAAGGCUCCAAGGCAGACCCGUCCAUCGUGCAGGCGUUGUCCCUCUAUGACGGGCUGGUAUAGUCCAAGGCCCAGAGUGGGAUGCCUGGGAACCACUCGCCUCCUCCCGUGCCAUGAGGCCGCCUCCGCCCCGACGCCACCCUCCCGUGCCCAUCCCGCCUUUCUCCGCAUCCACACCCGGCCGGGCUGCCCCGGGACGGCGAGGCCCGGCUCUCCUCUGCCCUGCCCCGCACACACCCGCCGCCUGAAGCCACCGGCUCCAAUUGCCAACAUCCUUUGCUUGUCCAGAAAACACCACCACGGAUGGGAAAAGGCUUCCAGCCCUCUGCAAAACCAAGGACUCGGCUGCUUCGCAGGCAGCCUCUCGGUCCCUCCUGCUCUCCUGCGUGUGUGCUUUUUUUUUUUCUAAUUUCAAAUAGACAAUUGAAAAAGGAAAAACAAACAAACAAACAAACUACCUUCUGUCCUAGAAGAUUCAGACUGACAGAUGGGGAGAAGGCCUCGGGGAGAACUCUGCCUCCCGCCUCGACCUUUGCAGCCGGAGAACCCACUGCGGUCAUGGCCUCGGCCACGGUCCCUCGGGGCUGUGGCGCGGGGCGGGGGGCGCCUGCCUGCCGAACGGGGUUUGUCGUCUCAUCCUCGAGCAGCCAAACCACCUGUGUGGCUAGGAUGAUGAAUUACGAUGAUGCUGAUUUUUUGUGAUAACAGUAUUGUGCUAUUUGUGGGAAAAGUGAGGGUUUUUUUUUUUAUAUAUAUAUACCUAUCUAAUUGAUCUCUUUUAUUUAUUGGUUGUUAACUGUUGCUGCUGCCUCGUGUGUCCAGCGCUCCGGGGAUGCGGAGCCCACCGUUUACACGUGCUUGGGAGGAUGGUGGCUGGCAGCGGCCAAGAAGCCAAAAACCUUUUUGUUUUCUUCUUUUGAGAUACUGUGCUUCAUGUUUGGAGAGGGGCAAGGUGGGCUUCUGAAAUGGCUAAUGCACUGUUCCCCCAGCCCGAAUGUCUCCUCUUUAGAACUCUUUCUCUGCCCCCAGUUCCCACAUCUCUCUGUCCCGUGUUGUCCUCUGGGUCCAACAGGGACCAUCUCUCAGUUUCUCGGCUCUCGCUUUGGUGUUGGCGGUGACGUGGGGGAUGGCGGGGCUUGUGCUGAGCCUGGGAGCCAGGACAGGGGCCUGGGUACCUAAGGAGCGAGGGAAGAGGGGGUGACAGGUGUAAAGGCUGCCUCUCCGUCCUUGGCGGCUUUUGAGAAUAGGGGCUCCCGCCUUCCUGCUCCCUCAUCCAGUGUGGACAGUAUCCCUCUGCCCUUCCUUCUUUUAGCUCAAAAGCUGGGAAGGAGCAGGGAGAGAAGGGACUUGGAGAAUCCUGUUCACGUAGCUUCUCGGGCCGUGGCCCAUGUGUGUUCACAGGAAGCUUCUAGCCCUGCCUGCCGCUGAGACAGGGCAGCCUCAGAACUGUCGGCAGGAAAGCCAGAUGACUUUGGACCAGGAACUAGGUGCCCAAGGCUGGCCCUUUGCUCUGUGCCUGGGGGCACGCCCCUGCCCUCUCUGGGCCCCAGCUGCCCCAGCCGCAGAGCCAAGAAGCCUGGACUGGCGGAUCUGAAGGCUCUCCUCUGGUUGAUGCUAAUUCUAAGCUUGGGUUUCCUGCAGUUGGUGAUUCUGCGGUCUGUGGCUGAGUUUCCUGAGCCCAGCAGAUGUGGGCACUGUCUGGGUUGCUGUUUUGUCCCUUGGCAUGAAUCUCCAGGGACAUGGCAGCCGCUGGUCGCGGUGUGUGGGUUCAGAUGACACAUCUGGUCCCUCCCCGCGGUGCUUCCUGGUUCCUCCUGCCCUCGGGAGCUAUUUUGCAGCCCCAAGCUCGACCUCACCCAGGGAAGGCUUCCAGCGGGAGAAGCAGUCUCCCAGAAUGUGCAGGGCCGGGCCGGAGUCUAGAAUCCCUGCUUCUCCUUUGCAAAGUCAGCAUCCAUCUUUUUCUGCUCAUCGCGGCCCCAGGAGAGGAGAAGCUGGCCCUCGCCCCAACUUGGAAUUUUCUUUGGCGUCCAUUUUGCUCUUCCCCAGGAGGCCAGAGCUUCUCUAGCUCGUGAGUCCUCAGCCAGCAGACCCUCUGCCUGAGAGCAGCUCUGCCAGUGGGGGGCUCGUGUGUCCGCUCCUGUAGGCUGGACUGCGAGGCCAGCCCUUACCUCUUCCUUCUUGCGUUCCUUCGCGGGCCCUCUGGCUGCCCUCUGCCUCCAAUGGAAGCCCCCCCCCCGCCCCCUACCCCUAAUCCUGCAGAGACAGGUGCAGUAGUUCCAUUUUCACAGGCGACUUUGAAGCCUGGGUUCUUUGAGGCCCCUGCAGUCACCGACCUGCUCCGGCCGCUGGCCCAGGAGGCCCAGGACUCACCACCAAAUCCCGCAGUUCCUCAGCCUGGCUCUGACCUGGGGCCCUAGGGCAGGAGGUGAGCUUGGUGGCUUGGGGCCGGCGGGGAGAGGGGAGCGGGGCCUUCCUCCAGGUCAGCUGACUUCUCUGGCCUCCGCCUGAGCCUCGAUUUGCCUCUCCGGCCCAGUGGGCAGGGGCUGUCGUGCAGCCUGCCCUGGAGGCAUCGCGGUAAAGGGCUUGCGGCCGAGAAUGAGCCAGGGUUAAGCAUGCGGGGCCCGCCAGCUGAGGCGUCCGUCCCCAGGCAUCCAGGGAGAUCUGCGUGCAAGGCUUCCCUCCCACCUCCUCGCCUUUUGGCCUUUUGUUUUGGAGCCAUGGGUGUGGCUUUUGGCCUUAGCUGGCAGUACCAUGGAUGCACGCCCCAGGCACACCGAGUCCACCCCCGGAGACGGUCCAGAGCUGCCAGUCGGAGGCCGCUCUUCUUCCUGGCAGGGGGCUGGACACUGGCCAUUUUUGCCCAAGGUUGCUGGCAGGGGGCAGUUCUGUCCCCUCCUCUGACCGGAUCUCUAGCUGCAGCACCCUGGGAGCCCUGAGCAGCCUGUGGGCCUCGCUCCUCAGCCCCAUGUUGCACCUGAGGCCCACCCCCAUCAGCUGCUGCUCUCUGGGGCUGCCUGAUCAGCCGGGAGCCAGGCUCUCUGUCCCUCUGCUGACCCUUGCUCUCCAGCCCAGGAGCAGGGACCAGCCUUGGGCAGCCCAUCUGCAGUGGCCCUGGUCUCUUUCUCACCGUGUCCGCUGCUCACUCCGUGUUGAUGGUACUUAGAGAACGCCGCGAGUUUGUAGUAUUUCACCAGGCAAUGUUUAGAGUCGUGUCGAAAGGCAAACCUGUGUGUCCUCUUUCUUUUCAUUUUGACAGCCAACUGCCUAGAUGACAGAUGCACCUGGGCUUUCGGGGACAUUGUGUCUUCUCUAGGGGGUUGGGGGAUGGGAAGAGGCAGAAAAAGCCCCACUGCUCACCUAGAGGAAAGCCACCUGAUUCCCAGCGGUUUCAGUGUCUAAGGGAUGGAAGGGAAGGCGGGCACGCCCCCUGGUGGCGAUGAGCCGUGACGGCAUGUGGGGGCCCUGACCUGCCGCAUAGGUGAUUUGAGAGGGGAGGCUGCGGAUGGGGAGGUGAAGAGGGGGCUGUGAUCUCACCCAGACCCUGGGCUUCCUGCCCCACCUUUUGGCAGCAUGUCUCCCAGACGCCUCUCUUCCUGAUCAACCCCGGGGGAUGGCAAGUGAAUUAGCAUCAAAGGCGCUGUGAUGAGAAGCCUCGCCCCACCCUUUUUUAAUAUCUGCGGAAUAAACGCAAUGGUUGAUUUUUGAACGAAUAAAAGGCUUUUGUUGAAUAAA